GGUUCCAUAGUGUAGCGGUUAGCACGUCUGCCUUACAUGCAGAAGGUCCUGGGUUCGCGCCCCAGUGGAGCCA
rnacentral:tRNA from 1 species